UACGGGGGGGGCAAGCGUUGUUCGGAAUUACUGGGCGUAAAGCGCGCGUAGGCGGCUCUUCAAGUUGGGCGUGAAAGCUCCAGGCUUAACCUGGAUAUUGCGUUUGAUACUGUCGAGCUAGAGUGUGGAAGAGGCUACUAGAAUUCCGUGUGUAGCGGUGAAAUGCGUAGAUAUACGGAGGAAUACCAGCGGCGAAGGCGAGUAGCUGGGCCAACACUGACGCUGAGGUGCGAAAGCCAGGGCAGCAAACGGG
rnacentral:rRNA from 1 species